rnacentral:lncRNA from 1 species
CAUCAGUGACGCUCAGAUCAAAAUAGUUAAAAAAGCCAAAUAAAUACAAAGUUGAAGAGCAUUGAGGAUCAAAAAUUCCUAAAAGUUGUGCCAAAUAUGGCUAAGGUAAUCUACUCCUGGGGUAAGAAAAUCCUUAGUUUUUCGAAAAAUUCAAAGUUUUGUAAACAGAAAAUUUAUAAAAAUGACCAUAUAAUUGAUAUUCAUGUCAACACCGAAG